UACACAACGCCACUGGCAGACGCGAACACGGAAGGUUUAUUUAGUAGCCUGACUUUCCAAAGGCCCUCCAAAACAACCCAUCGCCAAGUUUGAUCCAAGCCAAGGCGAUCAUUGAGUUUCCCGGACAUCUUUAGUUGCAAGCGAUGAACUUUAAUAAACAAAACACUAUACAAUAUACUUUACAUAUUAUCACAACGACCAUUAAAUUAAUCAUAGGCAGACGAUAAAACUUUGAAGAACUUUCGUGUAGAUAAUGUUUUAUGUAAAAGUGGCCGUUUACUUUGAUAAAUUAACUAUUAACACUAAUAAAAAUGUAUACGAUAAAAUGAUUAAUUAAUUACUUCUAUUGAAAACAAAAAACUAGCAGUAGCAAGUACUUUGAUCCAACGAAACCAAUUUUUUUAUUAAUAUUUUAAUACGGCUUUGUUUACCAACAAAGAAACUAUGGCACUUCACUUCACCACAGACAAACAGCAAAAUCAAGUAUAAUGCGUAUAUGUGCAAAAGUAUGCCGCACCCGUAGUAAGUAGUACCGGGAAAGGGUGUAUUUUAUUUAGUCGCAUAAUGUCGAUAAAAUUUUGCGCCUAGAACGAUAUCACUAGGCAUUGUGGCUGUCUUUUGUCUUACAUAAUCGGAAUUGCAAAAACACUCUAGUGUUCAAUUUAGCUUUGCGUUACACAGUUAGAAGUGAUACGUCGAGAUACAUAAUCAGCCUGCAGCAGGCUGAUUAUGUAUCUCGACGUAUCACUUCUAACUGUGUAACGCAAAGCUAAAUUGAACACUAGAGUGUUUUUGCAAUUCCGAUUAUGUAAGACAAAAGACAGCCACAAUGCCUAGUGAUAUCGUUCUAGGCGCAAAAUUUUAUCGACAUUAUGCGACUAAAUAAAAUACACCCUUUCCCAGUACUAUUUACUAUGGGUGCGGCAUACUUUUGCACAUAUACGCAUUAUACUUGAUUUUGCUGUUUGUCUGUGGUGAAGUGAAGUGCCAUAGUUUCUUUGUUGGUAAACAAAGCCGUAUUAAAAUAUUAAUAAAAAAAUUGGUUUCGUUGGAUCAAAGUACUUGCUACUGCUAGUUUUUUGUUUUCAAUAGAAGUAAUUAAUUAAUCAUUUUAUCGUAUACAUUUUUAUUAGUGUUAAUAGUUAAUUUAUCAAAGUAAACGGCCACUUUUACAUAAAACAUUAUCUACACGAAAGUUCUUCAAAGUUUUAUCGUCUGCCUAUGAUUAAUUUAAUGGUCGUUGUGAUAAUAUGUAAAGUAUAUUGUAUAGUGUUUUGUUUAUUAAAGUUCAUCGCUUGCAACUAAAGAUGUCCGGGAAACUCAAUGAUCGCCUUGGCUUGGAUCAAACUUGGCGAUGGGUUGUUUUGGAGGGCCUUUGGAAAGUCAGGCUACUAAAUAAACCUUCCGUGUUCGCGUCUGCCAGUGGCGUUGUAUCAACAUGAAGAUGUGGGCUCUAAACUUUGAGUGCCAGGGACUGACUAUGGAAGUCUCCAUGUCGCUGGUCACCAUUGAGGUGCAAAACACCUUGAAAAAAUUGGUGAUUCUGAAUCCUUCAUCUCUAUGAACGAUUCAUGAAGAAAGAAUUAAACAAACAUUUAAUGAACAGAUUUUUUAUAAGAUUAUUAUCAAUAAUGACAUUGCAUAUGAGAGAAAAUUGUCAAAUAUAAUUUCAUUUUAAUUUAAUAUAGUUAAUUAUGACAUCACUGUAUAUAAAGAAUAUGAUUAUUAUCAUUUGGUUAAUUUCAGUAUUACAUAGUAUUAGAUAAAAAUUUUAUUGUAAAAUUGCACAUCAAAAUAUGUUUUAUUAUCUAUUAUUAGGAGGAAAUAUUAUUUAACUAUUAUUAUUAUCCCUGAUAGCCCAGUGAAUGUGACCUCUGCCUCCAAUUCCGGAGGGUGUGAGUUCGACCCCGUUCCGGGGCACGCACCUCCAACUUUUCAGUUGUGUGCAUUUUAAGAAACUAAAUAUCACGUGUCUCAAACAGUGAAGGAAAACAUCGUGAGGAAACCUGCAUACCAGAGAAUUCUCUUAAUUCUCUGCAUAUGUGAUGUCUGCCAAUGUAAUCCAAAUAUGCUGGCCCAUAUUCGGCUCCUGUCAGAAUGAGAGGGGUUAGGCAUUGGCCUUCCCUUACCUUAUCAGCCGAUAGACGUCCACUGCUGGACAUAGGCCUCUUACAUGGACCUCCAAGCACAACGACCUUGAGCCGCGAACAUCCAACCAACCGACCAACCACGCUUUCCAGUGCGGGGUCUCCCGAGUGCGGGUAGGCACUAACCCCUCUUACUGGGGGAGACUCGAGCUCAGCAGUGAGCCGAAUAUGUGUUUAUAAUGAUGAUGAUGAUGAUGAUGAUGAUGAUGAUGAUGAUGAUUAUUUAAGUAAUUGUAAAAGAAAAAAUUGAAUACUACAUAAGUUGUUUAUCUAUACAAUUCAAUAAUUUUAAGAACAAAACAUGUACCUACCACAUUGUAGGAAAUAAAUAAAUAAUGAUUUGAUUAAAAACAAUGUUGUUUAAUGUUAAGCAGGUAGGGCCAGGUAGUUCUAUAUUUGUGUAACAUCUAUUACUUAAAAAUAAAAAAUAUAUUUACUUG